GUUCCUGGAUAAAAUCAAAAUCUGCAGAUUUGCAAAAAUGUAAAUAUGGAUCACUGACACUUCCAGACCUUAUUAGCCCCAAGUCAGAAAUUGAUCAGUUCAAAUUUGAACACCAAUCUAUGUAAAAUGAGAAAGAUUAAUUGCUGGAAUUUUAUUAGUUAGAUGCCCAUAAAAUCAUUACACAAUACAAUCACAUAUACCCAGUUCAAAAUGUAAAAUGUCAGCUUCAAUGUUGGUAAUGCCACAUAAAAAUACCCAAGAAAUGGAUGUUCAAGAUCAAUAUAGUAUAAAAAUAGAUAAGGUUUUAUUUGAUUAAGAUUAACAGAUGCUUGCUGACAGAUCCUUCAAAGCAAAAUAAGCAUGUAUCUCUAUAAGUCAAAACAGAUCAGUUUCUGGAUUGUAUUGUUAUGUUUCAUGCAUCAUUAGAAAGUUAUUAGAAAUCAAAUAAGAAACAUGAAAGAGGACGACUCAAUUCUGAUAGUCCUGAGAAAAGGAAAUUUUAGAGUAAAAGCACAUAAAAAUAGCUUUUUUUUUUUUCACCUGAAACCCCUAGUGAGAAAA
rnacentral:misc_RNA from 1 species